AUGUAUUUACAAGCUGGCCACCUCCACAGAUCAAUGAAUAUUUUUUAUCGUUCAACGGCGCAAGGUCUGUUUGAUUCCUUCAGCCUGAUGCUAUCGAAUACUUCUUAAUAUUUGAGUCAGAAGGAGAAAAUUGGAUUUAACAUUACGAGUGUAUUGGACAUGCUUGAAGUUGCAUUAGAUUCAUGUAAAUAAGGAGAUAUUCUAGAUUUUAUUGUCAAUGCUUUAAUAAGGAGAGAUAAAAUCUUACAUGUUAUUUGUAUAAUUCAGCAGUUAAUGAGCUUGAACACAGAAAUAAGUAAGGGGUCCUUUCAACUGUAGAAAAAGAUUUUUGCAAGAAGGACAUCGGAGAUAUGAUGAACUACUUGGAAGAGUGAAGGUAUUUAUCCAUGCUGCGUCUUUGCAAUUG
rnacentral:lncRNA from 1 species